GGGAUAUUAGUUAAAUCUCUAUAACCUUUAAUUUGCAAUUAAAAAUUAUAUAUUUAUAUAUAUAUCUUA
rnacentral:tRNA from 1 species